UACGUAGGAAGCAAGCGUUGUUCGGAGUUACUGGGCGUAAAGAGUGCGUAGGUGGUGCCCUAAGUCUGUUGUGAAAUCUCCCGGCUUAACUGGGAGGGUGCGGUGGAAACUGGGGUGCUUGAGUGUGGGAGAGGUAAGCGGAAUUCCUGGUGUAGCGGUGAAAUGCGUAGAUAUCAGGAGGGACGCCGGUGGGGUAGACGGCGUACUGGACCACGACUGACACUGAGGCACGAAAGCGUGGGUAGCAAACAGG
rnacentral:rRNA from 1 species